rnacentral:rRNA from 1 species
AGGAUAAACGCUGGCGGCGUGCCUAACACAUGCAAGUCGAACGCGCUUGCUAUCCGCGAGGAGGGUGAGCGAGUGGCGGACGGGUGAGGAACACGUGGGUGACCUACCUUUCAGUGAGGGAUACCGGCGAGAAAUUGCCGACAAGACCGCAUACGCUUCUCUUUUCAAGGGGAGAAGGAAAGCUUUUCGCAAGAGAGGCGCUGGGAGAUGGGCCUGCGGCCGAUUAGCUAGCUGGUGGGGUAAUGGCCUACCAGGGCGACGAUCGGUAGCUGGUCUGAGAGGACGAUCAGCCACACUGGGAUUGAGAACGGCCCAGACUCCUACGGGGGGCAGCAGUGAGGAAUUUUCGGCAAUGGGGGCAACCCUGACCGAGCAACGCCGCGUGCAGGACGACGGCCUUCGGGUUGUAAACUGCUUUUCUCUGGGACGAGCGAAGGACGGUACCGAGAGGAAGACGCCCGGCUACUACGCGCCAGCAGCCGCGGU